rfam:Picea glauca, whole genome shotgun sequence.
GAGUGCGAUCAUACCAACGUUAAUGCACCGAAUCCCAUCAGAACUUUGCAGUUAAUCAUUCUUGGGAUAGAGUAAUACUAGGAUGGGUGAACUCCUGGGAAGUCCUAGUGUUGCACUCU